AAGGCAGCAGCAGACGGAGUUAGAGAAACUCCGUUUGAAUGAGAAUUUGUUCCAUCAUGACGUCCUGCAAAGUGUAGAAGAGGACAUUGUACAGUCUCUCUGAGAAGUCCAUCUUGUCUCAUCUCUUGAAACAGAAGCUGCAGCUCUUGAAGAGGAUGAAGAUGAGGAGCAAAUCUAUAAUAAGGAGGAAGGCCAGGACGUCCAGGCUGUGGUACUGGUACCAGGGAUUCCUUCUUUCGUUCUCGGCGUUUAUGACGUCAUCCCUCCAGCAUCGCCGUCCACACAACGACCAACUGGACAGCGUUUGACUUCGGAGCGAACUCUGACCUCAGGGGUUACAAGUUAA